GGGCAGAAUUGAAAAAUUUUUAAGAGAAGAUAUGAAAAAUCUUCUGGAUUCCUAUUUAGUUUUUAGAUUUGGGCUUGACUAUUAAUGAAUAACUUUAACCUACCUACAGGGAAGGUUUUCUUCCUUGUUAACCCUUACUUCUGUCUCCUGGAUCUUAAGAGUGAAGAAAUGGGCCUUGGUUUUGCUUACAAAUCCAUAAAUUUAUGCUGUCAUAUGAACACAUGUGUAAGGCACUGUGUCACCCAUUAUGGAAGAUACAAAGAGACAGAGGAUUCCUGAGAAUUUAACAAAGUUAAAAAUGAAUGUUAUUGAUUAAAACAAAAAUGGCACAUUAUAGUUGAGACUGUGUGCUUGUUUUUUAAAUGUGAAAUGUUUUUGGACACAGGUGAAAAAUUCUAAUGUCUCUAACUCCCCAGAUCUUAGAUUGAUUUUUCUGAGAAGAAAUUUGUGAAUUAAUUGCAUACAGAUUUUCCUUGAGGUUAAGAAGUUAGAUGAAUUUCCCAGGGUGAAAAAGGAGCAGAGAUGAUUGUUAAAAAAUGAUCAUGGGCAGGGUGGUGAGAAGACAAAAGUAGGCGGAGCAGAAGCAUGUUUGUGUUUUAAGGAGGCUGAGAAAGAACCAGAAUAUAGCACUCACAAAAGGAAAAUGCAAAUAUACUAUGAAUAGCUACUACUCGUAGUACAUUAAUUUCUUAGCUACAUAUAAACUUUUAUUAGGGUGCUUAUAACUAAGGUGAUAUAUAAUUUGUCAUCCAAACUUGGAUCACUUUUAAGAAUGAAAGGAUGUGCUAUCUGAAUGGGACACUGGGACAACAGGUGUGAACCAGGACUGUUCCAGCACAAAACCAGAACUGUUGGUCAUUCCUAACUAAUGACAUACUUUUCUCCAGACUUAGUCCCAAUUCCUUUAACCUCUCCAGAUAAUUUUUUUUUUCAUUUAUAGUACUCUAAUCUGUACUUGCAGAGCUUCUCAGUCGUUGGUUUCUUUUUCCCAGUCUUGUUGGAAUUAAAGAAUUUUUCUGCCCCCACCCUGGACCGUUUGGGUUCACAGCAUUGGUGGAGGUGGGGUUGUCAUUAUGAAAUUUAAGAUCUUCAAAGAAGAGAAUGUAAUUUAUACCAUGGAUAUGUUAUUUUUUCAUUUUGGAGCACUGUAAUUUCUUUUGUUUUCUUAUUAAGUUUAAAUAAAAUUUUUAAUUAUAUUGUGAUGAGUUUUUAUUCCAUUAAAUAGCUUUUUAUUUUUCAUUUCUGAUAAAUUAAAAAUUGACAUGGAAGUAAUAAAUCUUUGAGGUGGUACUUUAACCAAAAUAUGAUUUUCUUUAUCCCUUACAAUAAUCCUUAUUUGGAAUCUGGAUGGGCUUAAGGUGUCUAGGUUUGAAAAAUCACCACUUCAGAAUACUAGAAUGCAAUCCUAAACAAUAAGGAUGUGGUUUACAGAUGAGCCUGAAUGAAUGUUUGUUCUUGUCCUAUUGUUCCUCUGUAAGUUUGCCAUCUAGUGGUAGGAAUGCGGAAUUUACCAUAAUGCCAAGGAAAAGCUCUAGGUUUACAUUUUCUUAUAUUAAGAAGGCUUACGUAGUAAUUUAAAACAUUUUGAUAAUCAGAGGAAGCGGGGAGGAACAACUUACUUGAAAAUACAAGUCAGUGGCAGUGAAGUCAGAGUAUUCCAAGAGUCCAUGUUUUUCCGUAGAGCAUUUUCAUGACUUAAACUUUCUACUUUUGUUCUAAGAGUUUUUCUAUUUAUGACAUUAGUGGGUAGAGAGACAAAUAAUAAAUAAUUUUAAGAGACAGUAGGUUGGAGUGAUUUGAAAAAUAUGUUUUGAGUGUUGAUAAAAAUUUUAGGGCAAUUACAUAAUGACUCCAUUUAAAACAAUUCAGUUUGUACUUUUAAAAUUAAAGUUUGGACCGUUCAGUAAAUUUGGCUUUGGCUCAGUCAUGACUUAAGAAGCUAAGUUUCAGACAUGUAUUAAUAUAUAAUAUCUUAGGGGUUUGCUUUUUAUGUACCCAGCUCUAUCUGAAUUCUUUCUUCUCUACAUAUUCCCUUUUCAGUUCCUCAUCUUUCCUCUGCCACAGAUAAAAAGGAUGUCAGUCCUUUCUCUGCUAGAAAAAUGUCUUUUUGAAAAUACCUUCUAUGUUCUAUUCUUGAAGUAGAGGCUUUUUAUUAUUAUUAUUUUGCUAUCUCUGAAUCCUGUACAUAUAGAUUACAACCACUACAAUGUAUUGUGAGGCUGUAUCUUUACCUCCAAAGACCUCAGUUUAGUAGGGGAGCAAUUUUGCAUCUUUUCAUAAUCUCACUCUAUUGGCAGGAGGAAUAUGGGGUGGUAUAAACUUGAAAAAGCAAUUAUGCUACUCCCUAGAUUGCUAACAUAUUUUUUUCCAAAUUAUUGCUGCACUAAAGCUUAGAUUAAUAAAAUACUGUUGCUUUCUACAGGUGUCUUCUAAGUUACAUUUCAUAUAUUAAUGUUAAUUUAAUAAACAUUUAAGAUGUAUCCUGCUAGGUGCUGGGAAUAUGAGAAUGAAGAAGACAUGAUACUCCCUUUAGUGAACUCUCUCAUAGGAGAGACUGAUAUAUGAGCUAGUAAUUGUAAUGAAGUGUGAAAGGUGCUGUAACUGGUAUGAUGAGUUAAGAGAGCAUGAAAUUGAAACCGGGGAAAAUUUGCUUUCCCCUCCAAAAUAUCACUAGAUCUUUUUGCUAUCUCUGAAUCCUGUACAUACAGAUUACAACCACUACAAUGUAUUGUGAGGCUGUAUCUUUACCUCCAAAGACCUCAGUUUAGUAGGGGAGCAAUUUUGCAUCUUUUCAGCUUUGUGUAUCUUGGUAUUUGGCAUCAGUAGGUAAAGCAGUCAGUUGUUGAUUUGAAUUGCAUGCAGGUCAUUUCUAGCAAAAGGGAUAGCUCUGAAAGUGUGUGGCUCCAUCCUCUGUCUCACUUUAAGCAUUUUGGAAUAUGUAUAUACACAAACAUGUAUACACACAUACUGUAUAUACCUGAAUGUAAGGUAACCCCAAAUAUAAAGCAAGCCCACAUUUUCCCAGUGAGACAGCCCCUCAAGUUUUAUUUAUUUUACCUUUGCGAAUGUAUAAAUGUUAGGGAUAUAGAUGAAGCAGUCAACCUUACAAUAUUGAAACUCAGUAGUUAGAAUACAUAUGAAACUUUACUAUAAGAGUAAUCUGGCUGAGUGCAGUGGCUUACGCCUGUAGUAAUUCCAGCACUUGGGCAGGCUGGGACAGGAGGAUCCCUUGAGCCCAGGAGUUCAAGAGUAGCCUGGGCAACAAAGGGAGACCUUGUUUUUAUACAAAUAAAUACAUACAUAAAUUUGUAAUUAAUAGAAAAGUAAUCUAUGAUUUAAAAAUAGUUUCUUUUCCCCACUCAUACAUACCUUACCACAUAACAUUUGACUCAUUUUACAUUCAUGUGUAUCUUGUAUAUUUUGUGUUUAAAAAACAAAAUGGUCAUCCGGAGUCCCCUUUUUAAAGUUCUGUAACAUCUUUCCUUUUGUGUAAGGCCUUUUAAAUUUAAAUUAAAUUUAAUUUAGACAUUGUUUUACAGGCUGUCACCAUCCAUUCUUGUACAUUAAGACAGUUUGUUUCAUUCCUCAUGUAUAUUUCUGAUCUCUGCAACAUAACUUUAUUUUGUUGCUUUGUAAAGUGUUCUGAAGAUACCCAACACAGUUAUGCAAUUAUGUGAUACGUGUAUUUCCAGGAAUACUUACAUCUAUGUUAAAUUUUAUAUUUCUUCAUAAGCACCUGAAACUAGCAUUGAUGGAGGUCUUUUCAGGUUAUCUUCUUCGGAAAGAACUUCGUUAAAAUAAAAGGAUCAGACAAUCAAAUCUUCAAAACUAUACAUUUGUGAAGAUUUAUAGUUUUUUUUUUUGUUGAAUAGUUUUUAGGGAGGGAAGGCACUUUCAUUUUACAUGGCAGUUUUACAAAUAGUAGAAUUAUUUGUACAUUUCUGGUCCUGGGAGGGUUGCCUUUUUUUAGGACACAGGAUUUCACUGUGUUGCCCAGGCUGGAGUGCAGUGGCUGUUCAUAGGCAUGAUUACAGCACAUUACAUCUUUAAACUCCUGGGCUCAAGCGAUCCUCCUGUCAGCCUUCCAAGUAGCUGGGACUACAAGUGCAUGUCACCAUGUCCCACUCUAUAUUUUCUAAUUUUUAUGUGUGUGAAUCUUAGCCCAUUCAUGUUUCUAAGAACACUGUGGCAGAAAUAGCAUAUCUAGUUGUGCUAAUACACUGCUUUUUUCCUACAACUGCAGCUUUUUUCUUUUUCUUUCUUUCUUUUAAUUUUUUUUUUUUGAGAUGGACUCUCUCUCACUCUGUUACCUAGACUAGAGUGCACUGGGAUGAUCUUGGCUUACCACAACCUCUGCCUCCCACGUUCAGAUGAUUCUCAUGCCUCAGCCUCCCAAGUAGUUGGGAUUACAGAUGUGUCACCAACCAGAUAAUUUUUGUAUUUUUCGUAGAGAUGGGGUUUCGCCUUGUUGGCCAGACUGGUCUCAAACUCCUUACCUUAAGUGAUCUACCCAUCUCAGCCCCCAGUGUACUGGAUUACAAGCAUGAGCCGCUGCACCUGGCCUUUUUUUUUUCAAAAAAAGAUAGGACUUUGACUUACUUUGAGCAUGGGGUGUAGAGGUUCCUUAAGACUCAUCUACCAUUGAACUGGUGUUCAAAAUAUUGACCUGCUUCUAGCAGGUCAGAUUCCUGGUUGACCUGCCAAAUUCAUAGUUACUUUACCAUGCAACCCUUAUUCUUUUUUUAAAAAUGUUUUUGUGAUGGAGUCUCACUCUGUCACCCAGGCUGGAUUGCUAUGGCUAUGGCAAUCUCAGCUCCCUUUAACCUCCACCUCCCAGGUUCAAGCAAUUGUCCUGCCUCAGCCUCCCAAAUAGCUGGGAUUAUAAAACAUGUGCCACCAAGCCUGGCUGAUUUUUGUAUUUUUAGCAGAGAUGGAGCUUCACCAUAUUGGCCAGGCUGGUCCCGAAUUCCUGACCUCCACUGAUCUACCUUCCUCAACCUUCCAAAGUGUUGGGAUUACAGGCGUGAGACUCCAUGCCUGGCCUAGCAACUCUUACUGUUGUACCACCUCUUCCUCACAUCCUUAAAGAAAUAAAGAAUGUGUCGUGACUCUCCUUACUGCUGUUGAUUAUGAUAAUGUUCAAAAAGGUGUGGGAUAAAUUACAAUACAGAAUUGCUGUGUGCUAUGGGACAUUGAGAGGUACUGAGAUAAGUUUAUGGGAGUAACAGUGUUAUAGUUCUUUUAUACAUUCUUUUUUACUAACCGUUCAUAUAGGACUUAGUUGCUGAGUCAUUUUAGAAGUGUUUGAUUCUUUAUGCAUCACCCUACAUUUGGGCAAAUACAGUAUAUAUGAGAAAAUAUUACACAUUUACACCUUUUUUUUUUUUUUAAGGCAGGGUCUUGCUCUGUUGCCCAGGCUGGAGUACAAUGGCAUAAUCACAGUUCACUGUAACGUUAAACUCCUGGGCUCAAGCUAUCUUCCUGCCUCAGCCUCCACUACA